rnacentral:rRNA from 1 species
GCCGCGUGAGCGAUGAAGGCCUUCGGGGUCGUAAAGCUCUGUGGGGAGAGAAGAAUAAAGCCUGUGAAGAAUGGGCCUUGACGGUAUCUCCUUAGCAAGCACCGGCUAACUCCGUGCCAGCAGCCGCGGUAAUACGGAGGGUGCAAACGUUGCUCGGAAUCAUUGGGCGUAAAGCGCACGUAGGCGGCGAAGCAAGUCGGGUGUGAAAGCCCUGGGCUCAACCCAGGAAGUGCAUUCGAAACUAUUUCGCUUGAAUCUCGGAGGGGGUCAGAGAAUUCCCGGUGUAGAGGUGAAAUUCGUAGAUAUCGGGAGGAAUACCAGUGGCGAAGGCGCUGACCUGGACGAAGAUUGACGCUGAGGUGCGAAAGCGCGGGGAGCAAACAGGAUUAGAUACCCUGGUAGUCCGCGCUGUAAACGAUGAGUGCUAGACGGUGGAGGUAUUGACCCCUUCGCUGCCGAAGCUAACGCGUUAAGCACUCCGCCUGGGGAGUACGGUCGCAAGACUAAAACUCAAAGGAAUUGACGGGGG